rnacentral:rRNA from 1 species
UACGUAGGGGGCAAGCGUUGUCCGGAUUUAUUGGGCGUAAAGAGCGUGUAGGCGGUUCGGUAGGUCCGUUGUGAAAACUCGAGGCUCAACCUCGAGACGCCGAUGGAAACCAUCGAACUAGAGUCCGGAAGGGGAGAGUGGAAUUCCUGGUGUAGCGGUGAAAUGCGCAGAUAUCAGGAAGAACACCCGUGGCUAAGGCGGCUCUCUAGUACGGUACUGACGCUGAGACGCGAAAGCGUGGGGAGCGAACAGG